GUCAGCGGUGCAACGUGGCACCAGUGCUCUGGCGUAUCCCCGAGGAACUGAAGCUGUCUUAUUGCAAUGACUACUGACUGAUUGGUUUAUCCUCGGCGUCACCCAUUCUGGAAUUAUCCCAAGGAGUCUGAUACAGUAUACAAACGAAACGGUCUAGUGUGUUGCUACCGUCGACUACAACACAGCGGGCACAACUGCAAAUGCCCAAGUCAGUCAACGUAUAGGCUACCCCUUAGGCUUAGGGGGUAUCGCCGUCAGUACACCUCGCUCCUAACUCUUACUAUCUACUUCAAUAAUAAAUAAACCUUUCACUCGUUUAUUUCCCAGUUCUUCUACGAUUACCUCCCCAUUUGCCCCAUCAAGGGCUUCCUUUAGGUCUACAGAAGCCCUACAUCUGCUCUUGUUAUUGUUUAUAGUACUACUUUAACUACUUUAUUAACACAAUCCGUUGUAGUUCCAUUUUUUUCAUAGAACCAAACAAAUUAUCCGAUAGCUGUCCUACAAUUUAAAACUAAUUCUUUCCAUUAAUUUGCAAAAGCACGAUGUCAGCUAUAGGCCGAUGCUCAACAUUACUUGGUAGGAACUGUAAUCAUUGAAGCUAUGCUCCACUUUACAGGUAAUCUGCCAUUCGCAUAGGACUAACUAAUCAAAUCGAAUAGACCAUCAACCAUUGCAAUCAAACAAUUAUGUUACUCCAUCCAUCCCUGGGGCAGUAGACUUAGCUCGCUUGAUAGCACACAACAAUUCAUUUUUUUGUAACUACUCUUGCAUUAUUUACCUCAUUCCAUACACCACCUAGAGAUUUUACAGAAAUAUCUUAAACCCCAGUCAUUCUCUCUUGCUACUGCUCCUGUUUCUAACGUUCCUCCAGCUAUUUGGGUCAUAGUUUCCCACAGUUACCUUACUAGACCGCAUCUUUUCACUCUUGAGCCGAACCUACUACAUUAGCUCUGCUGGCGCCAUCCAUUACCGUUAUGUGCCGUUUCCAUGUACCCGAGGUUUCCAAUUCUUCCUUUUUCUGCUUACUCGUAACUUCAAAGCCUUCAAAUGCGUCAAUACUAUAAUCCCUGACACCCUUGGCGUUAUUUGAAGCCGUUCGAAAAGUAUCAUCUCUCAGAAGCUCACUUGCCUCGUCAAACCAAGCUUACAAAGCCAUCAAUCCCACAUUGGGUAGUUGUUUUCGUGUGUUCUCGUUCGGGUUUAAUGUUAAACGGGUAAGCAUGUCUUUAAAAAAAAUAAGGAAAACUGAAUUUGAGAGUAAGUUGGCGCUGUAUUAUAAAACAAUUUCGGGAGUUCACUGACAGUACGUCAUAUUUUAAGUUUCUGUUGUACACGGUGACAACCUAGAUGUUGCAACGCCAGUUUUAAUACACAAUCAUUUUUGUUGUACUCUUACAUACCUGUGGCAUCGUUGUAGGCAACUCGAUGAAUUUCUAAACAUAGCUUUACAAGCCUGUAGGCCGCCAGGCUGGGAAAAAUUGAAUUAGGCCAAGUAAACUGCUGUAAAAGGUCGGAUAUCUGCAUCGGUGAGUGACCAGGAAAUUUUUUUCAGGGAGAAGUACUAGACUCUGAAGUAAUGUUUUUUCACCGGUCACAGGAUUUUCGAAAUAAUGGGUAAAUUCUCAAAAUGAAAAAAUGUUACUGUAAUCAAUAUAGUAGUCACUGUUAUUUAGGAUAUGUAUAUAUCAUCUUGCAAUAAUCAAUAAAAUUAGGAUGUCACGAUAAAGAGUUUAGUUCUUGAGAAUAUAGUGAACGAAUUGGUAGGGGUUGGUUAAUACUUUAUCGAAUAACGGCAAAUCUCUCUCUCUCUC